ensembl:lncRNA
GGGCAAGAGUGUGUGUAGAGCAUAGUUUGUAGGCGGGCCAAAGAGAAGUGUAUGAAAUGUGUCAUGCUGGCUGGCUGACUGGGGGCCGGACUCACUUAUAACAGUGGGUGGGAAGAAAGGAGCUUCCUCCUAUUGAUAAGGAACACAGUCAGGACUGCCAGUCAGACAAGUAGACACACUACUCGCACACAUCAGAAUGGAAAGACUGGUAGACUGUCAGGUAAACUUACAGAUGGACAAACAGGCAGACAGACAUAUAGACACCAAGGUGUUCCUUCCUGGGCCCCUCUCACCAGUAGCCCUCUACCCCUGGUUCAGGUGUGUGGUUGCCUUGGUAUCAGUGAUGGGGCUCGUGAUCAUGGCUCUAUUCGUGGGGUUCUGCAUUGGGUUCUACACCCAGAGAACCACACAGGGAAGUGGACAAGCAAAUUGCACAGAGAAAUUAAACAAGACCUUCAUACUUCAAGAGGGCAAACCGUCAGAAGAUGAAACAAGACGAAUACGACUAUGACAUCUUCAUCGCCCCAAAGGACGCCAUCUAUUUCAUCCAUGGCCAGGUGACGAUGGCAGAAGGGAAGGGGAAAGUCUACCUGUUUUGGAAACUCAAAAGCAGCCGUAAGAUCAAAACCAACAACGGAACCUGUCCUGAGAUCACCUUCGCUACGGAGGUCAAGUUGUUGAAAGGUGGUCGGGUUUACCUCGUCUUCAACACGGGCAAACCCAAACUGAAAGAGAGCACUUUCUCAGUCUACGAGCUCGUCGAGCAGUGACCGGACUGAAACAGUACAGUCUAUGAGCUCGUCGAGCAGUGACCGGACUGAAACAGUACAGUCUACGAGCUCGUCGAGCAGUGACCGGACUGAAACAGUACAGUCUACGAGCUCGUCGAGCAGUGAUCGGACUGAAACAGUACAGUCUACGAGCUCGUCGAGCAGUGGCCGGACUGAAACAGUACAGUCUACGAGCUCGUCGAGCAGUGACCGGACUGAAACAGUACAGUCUACGAGCUCGUCGAGCAGUGACCGG